UGGCGGCAGGCUUACACAUGCAACGUUGAGCGGUAACAGGGGUAGCUUGCUACCCGCUGACGAGCGGCGGACGGGUGAGUAAUGCUUAGGAAUCUGCCCAGUAGUGGGGGAUAGCCCGGGGAAACCCGGAUUAAUACCGCAUACGUCCUACGGGAGAAAGCAGGGGAUCUUCGGACCUUGCGCUAUUGGAUGAGCCUAAGUCGGAUUAGCUAGUUGGUGGGGUAAAGGCCUACCAAGGCGACGAUCCGUAGCUGGUCUGAGAGGAUGAUCAGCCACAUCGGGACUGAGACACGGCCCGAACUCCUACGGGAGGCAGCAGUGGGGAAUAUUGGACAAUGGGGGCAACCCUGAUCCAGCCAUGCCGCGUGUGUGAAGAAGGCUUUCGGGUUGUAAAGCACUUUCAGUAGGGAGGAAAACCUUAUGGCUAAUACCCAUGAGGCUUGACGUUACCUACAGAAGAAGCACCGGCUAACUCCGUGCCAGCAGCCGCGGUAAUACGGAGGGUGCAAGCGUUAAUCGGAAUUACUGGGCGUAAAGCGCGCGUAGGUGGUUUGGUAAGCGAGAUG
rnacentral:rRNA from 1 species